AUGGAAAAGGUUAAUAACGGGACUGAAAAUCCCUGUGUCCUUGGUUCGAUUCCAAGUCUGGCCACCA
rnacentral:tRNA from 1 species